rnacentral:miRNA from 1 species
GGUAAUUGACUGUGAAAUCGU